rnacentral:rRNA from 1 species
AACAAGGUCUCCGUUGGUGAACCAGCGGAGGGAUCAUUAUCGAGUUAUUCAACCCCCAAACCCUAUGUGAACUUACCACUUGUUGCUUCGGCGCGCGCUUCGGCGCCGCCGAGGACACUUAAACUCUUUGUUUUUAUAAGCAUUUCUGAGUGGCCGAAAGGCAAAAAUACAAAUGAAUCAAAACUUUCAACAACGGAUCUCUUGGUUCUGGCAUCGAUGAAGAACGCAGCGAAAUGCGAUAAGUAAUGUGAAUUGCAGAAUUCAGUGAAUCAUCGAAUCUUUGAACGCACAUUGCGCCCGCCAACAUUCUGGCGGGCAUGCCUGUUUGAGCGUCAUUUCAACCCUCGAGCCCGACUCUUUUGAGGACGGCUCGGCGUUGGGGGACGGCAGACUCCCCCCGGCAUCUCGCCGGGGACGCCGCCCCCGAAAUCUAGUGGCGGCCCUCCGAGGCGACCUCUGCGUAGUAACUUGUUCUCGCACCGGAAAGCUCAGAGCGGCCACGCCGUAAAACCCCAACUUUUUUCAGGUUGACCUCGAAUCAGGUAGGACUACCCGCUGAACUUAAGCAUAUCAAAACAAGGUCUCCG